GUCUUAUUAGGGAAUUCAUACAUGGGAUGGAUGGAAAGUUUACACUUGUAAUAAAGACAUUUGGCUCUCAAGUCUAAAAACUCUUGGUGAGAGUACUGUCGGGUGGGUCUUUGGCAAGAAUACUAGGAGAAGGAUUUGCAGUGGUUGGGUUGUGGGCUUUUUGCUUUUACAAAUUAAAAAAAAAAAAUUUCAGGAAAAAUUUUUCUCGACUCUACUGCAUUUUUAAAAUGCGAUAGAGUCUACCGCGCUUCAAAAACGCGAUAAGAAAGAAUAAUUAAAA
rnacentral:lncRNA from 1 species